UCUCAACAAUCUCCCCCUUUUUUGAUGAUGCACAACCAUGAUUAAUAAACAACCAUGUUUGUACAAUUCCAAACAGAUUCAGAGUAAACAUAACUUGUGAAACAACAUGUAACAAUCAAGUUUCAGUUCAUACUCUGAAUACACACAAUUAAACAACAAUCAAUGAAGCAGAUAACAGUAUUCAAUAAUUGUACACAAUAUUUCUCCCCCUUUGUUCAUUAACAAAAAAAGGAAUGCUUCAAGAUAUGAUAUGCUAUAAAACAGUACAAAGAUGCAUCAUACAAAUAUAAAAUCAAUAUGUAGUGAUGCUCCCCCUAUCACAUAUAAUCACAAGAAAAGAAUAACUCCCCCUGACGUGUAGCAUGUGAAAAUAUAAGUGUAAGUGAGUAAUGUUCCCCUGUCAUUAUGCAUAUUUUCACAACAAAUAUAGAUGCACAAUGCAGUACAGUA
rnacentral:lncRNA from 1 species